rnacentral:tRNA from 1 species
GCCCGGAUAGCUCAGUCGGUAGAGCAGGGGAUUGAAAAUCCCCGUGUCCUUGGUUCGAUUCCGAGUCCGGGAUA